AUUUUCUUAGUAAAACUAUUACAGACGGCCUCCAACCAUCUAAUCUUGGUUCAACCCCAAGAGAAAAUA
rnacentral:tRNA from 1 species